GGGUGCAACCAUACCAUCACUAGUGCAUCGGAUCCCAUCAGAACUCCAUAGUUAAGCGUGCUUGGGCGAGAGUAGUACUGGGAUGGGUGACCUCGUAGGAAGUCCUCUUGUUGCUCCCU